rnacentral:siRNA from 1 species
UAAGUGGCUAAAGUGAUCAU